UACGGAGGGUGCAAGCGUUAUCCGGAUUCACUGGGUUUAAAGGGUGCGUAGGAGGGCAGGUAAGUCAGUGGUGAAAUCCCCGAGCUUAACUUGGGAACUGCCGUUGAUACUAUCUGUCUUGAAUGCUGUGGAGGUGAGCGGAAUAUGUCAUGUAGCGGUGAAAUGACUUAGAUAUGACAUAGAACACCAAUUGCGAAGGCAGCUCGCUACACAGUUAUUGACUCUGAGGCACGAAAGCGUGGGGAUCAAACAGG
rnacentral:rRNA from 1 species